AUUGAACGCUGGCGGCAGGCCUAACACAUGCAAGUCGAGCGGCAGCGGGAAAGUAGCUUGCUACUUUUGCCGGCGAGCGGCGGACGGGUGAGUAAUGCCUGGGAAAUUGCCCAGUCGAGGGGGAUAACAGUUGGAAACGACUGCUAAUACCGCAUACGCCCUACGGGGGAAAGCAGGGGACCUUCUGGCCUUGCGCGAUUGGAUAUGCCCAGGUGGGAUUAGCUAGUUGGUGAGGUAAUGGCUCACCAAGGCGACGAUCCCUAGCUGGUCUGAAAGGAUGAUCAGACACACUGGAACUGAGACACGGUCCAGACUCCUACGGGAGGCAGCAGUGGGGAAUAUUGCACAAUGGGGGAAACCCUGAUGCAGCCAUGCCGCGUGUGUGAAGAAGGCCUUCGGGUUGUAAAGCACUUUCAGCGAGGAGGAAAGGUCAGUAGCUAAUACCUGCUGACUGUGACGUUACUCGCAGAAGAAGCACCGGCUAACUCCGUGCCAGCCGCCGCAGUAACAC
rnacentral:rRNA from 1 species